rnacentral:tRNA from 1 species
GGACCGGUAGCUCAAAUGGUCAGAGUCAUAGAAAAUGCCCCGUAUUUCACUCAUGUCUUGCCUGAUUCUUAUCGGGCUGAAGAUGUACGGUUAUCUAUAAUCUAUAGGUUGGGAGGUUCGAUUCCUUCCCCGGUCCGCCA